AUUGAACGCUGGCGGCAGGCUUAACACAUGCAAGUCGAGCGAGCGGCGGACGGGUGAGUAAUGUAUGGGAAACUGCCUGAUGGAGGGGGAUAACUACUGGAAACGGUAGCUAAUACCGCAUACCAUCAGAUGUGCCCAAGUGGGAUUAGCUAGGAGGUGGGGUAAUGGCUCACCUAGGACACGAUCCCUAGCUGGUCUGAGAGGAUGACCAGCCACACUGGAACUGAGCCACGGUCCAGACUCCGACGGGAGGCAGCAGGGGGGAAUAUUGCACAAGGGGCGCAAGCCUGAUGCAGCCAUGCCGCGUGUGUGAAGAAGGCCUUCGGGUUGUAAAGCACUUUCAGCGAGGAGGCGUUACUCGCAGAAGAAGCACCGGCUAACUCCGUGCCAGCAGCCGCGGUAAUUC
rnacentral:rRNA from 1 species